rnacentral:tRNA from 1 species
CGAAGUAGAGCUUGAUGAAGAGCAUCCCAUUUACAUUGGGGAGGUUUUGUGCGAAUCAUAUAUUUUGA